rnacentral:rRNA from 1 species
GAUGAACGCUGGCGGCGUGCCUAAUACAUGCAAGUCGAACGAACUUCCGUUAAUUGAUUAUGACGUACUUGUACUGAUUGAGAUUUUAACACGAAGUGAGUGGCGAACGGGUGAGUAACACGUGGGUAACCUGCCCAGAAGUAGGGGAUAACACCUGGAAACAGAUGCUAAUACCGUAUAACAGAGAAAACCGCAUGGUUUUCUUUUAAGAGAUGGCUCUGCUAUCACUUCUGGAUGGACCCGCGGCGUAUUAGCUAGUUGGUGAGGUAAAGGCUCACCAAGGCAGUGAUACGUAGCCGACCUGAGAGGGUAAUCGGCCACAUUGGGACUGAGACACGGCCCAGACUCCUACGGGAGGCAGCAGUAGGGAAUCUUCCACAAUGGACGCAAGUCUGAUGGAGCAACGCCGCGUGAGUGAAGAAGGGUUUCGGCUCGUAAAGCUCUGUUGUUAAAGAAGAACGUGGGUAAGAGUAACUGUUUACCCAGUGACGGUAUUUAACCAGAAAGCCACGGCUAACUACGUGCCAGCAGCCGCGGUAAUACGUAGGUGGCAAGCGUUAUCCGGAUUUAUUGGGCGUAAAGCGAGCGCAGGCGGUCUUUUAAGUCUAAUGUGAAAGCCUUCGGCUCAACCGAAGAAGUGCAUUGGAAACUGGGAGACUUGAGUGCAGAAGAGGACAGUGGAACUCCAUGUGUAGCGGUGAAAUGCGUAGAUAUAUGGAAGAACACCAGUGGCGAAGGCGGCUGUCUGGUCUGCAACUGACGCUGAGGCUCGAAAGCAUGGGUAGCGAACAGGAUUAGAUACCCUGGUAGUCCAUGCCGUAAACGAUGAUUACUAAGUGUUGGAGGGUUUCCGCCCUUCAGUGCUGCAGCUAACGCAUUAAGUAAUCCGCCUGGGGAGUACGACCGCAAGGUUGAAACUCAAAAGAAUUGACGGGGGCCCGCACAAGCGGUGGAGCAUGUGGUUUAAUUCGAAGCUACGCGAAGAACCUUACCAGGUCUUGACAUCUUCUGACAGUCUAAGAGAUUAGAGGUUCCCUUCGGGGACAGAAUGACAGGUGGUGCAUGGUUGUCGUCAGCUCGUGUCGUGAGAUGUUGGGUUAAGUCCCGCAACGAGCGCAACCCUUAUUACUAGUUGCCAGCAUUAAGUUGGGCACUCUAGUGAGACUGCCGGUGACAAACCGGAGGAAGGUGGGGACGACGUCAAAUCAUCAUGCCCCUUAUGACCUGGGCUACACACGUGCUACAAUGGAUGGUACAACGAGUCGCGAGACCGCGAGGUUAAGCUAAUCUCUUAAAACCAUUCUCAGUUCGGACUGUAGGCUGCAACUCGCCUACACGAAGUCGGAAUCGCUAGUAAUCGCGGAUCAGCAUGCCGCGGUGAAAAAGUUCCCGGGCCU